GUGCCUAACACAUGCAAGUCGAACGAGAAAGCGGGGGCAACUCCGUGAGUAAAGUGGCGACCGGGUGAGUAACACGUGACUAACCUGCCCUUGAGUGGGGGAUAACUUCGGGAAACCGGGGCUAAUACCGCAUAAUUUCAUGAGGUGAAAAUCCUUAUGAUCAAAGGAGCAAUUCGCUGAAGGAGGGGGUCGCGGCUGAUUAGCUAGUUGGUGAGGUAACGGCCCACCAAGGCGAUGAUCAGUAGCCGGCCUGAGAGGGCGCACGGCCACACUGGAACUGAAACACGGUCCAG
rnacentral:rRNA from 1 species